rnacentral:rRNA from 1 species
AGCCCAGAGCCUGAAUCAGUGUGUGUGUUAGUGGAAGCGUUUGGAAAGGCGCGCGAUACAGGGUGACAGCCCCGUACACAAAAAUGCACAUGCUGUGAGCUCGAUGAGUAGGGCGGGACACGUGGUAUCCUGUCUGAAUAUGGGGGGACCAUCCUCCAAGGCUAAAUACUCCUGACUGACCGAUAGUGAACCAGUACCGUGAGGGAAAGGCGAAAAGAACCCCGGCGAGGGGAGUGAAAAAGAACCUGAAACCGUGUACGUACAAGCAGUGGGAGCACAGAGCAAUCUGUGUGACUGCGUACCUUUUGUAUAAUGGGUCAGCGACUUAUAUUCUGUAGCAAGGUUAACCGAAUAGGGGAGCC